UUUCAUUUAAACCCAUUAAAAGUUACAUCAACUGUCGUUAGAUGUUUACAGAAGAAAGAAACCUUAGGAGAAAGUACAACCCAGCUUAUAUAUAAAGGCAGAGAAACAGUAUCUUUGGAAACUUUUUCUAUGUUUGUGUUAUAGAAUAAGAGAUUAACAGAGUAAAUAUAUAUAUAUUGCUAUUCUACGCUGACGACGCUACUACGCUGUUAUUUAUUGUUUUGCACCAAUCCACACAAGGCAUUUUGCUUAUUUUCAGUAUUCAUUUAACAGAGCACAAGAACAACUUUGUCAACAUGUCCUCAAUACUGAGUUGUUGAAAACAACCUACAGUAUGAUACAGACUACAGACUUCAAAAUGCGAUGUCCCUGAAAGAGUCAUAAGAGCUGGGCAAAUCUGUUGAAUGCAAAUGUUUUACCCAAGUCUUUUUAUGUUGUGCAACUCUGUGAUGUGAUGUUAUGUUUUAAGUUUAUUCUUGAUGAAACUGUGUUGCUGCCGCCCUUGGCCUCUUGUGAAAGAGUUCUUUGAUCCCAUGGAGCCAAACCUGGUUAAAUAAAUAAUAAAAAAUAAAAGCAAAUAGAGCAAUUUUUUUUGGUAAUUUCUUCACUGUGAAGAAGCUUGUGCCCGAAAAGCAGCUCGUUUUUAUUGUCUGAUUAAAUGUUUGUCCACUAGAGGGCUCAGCUGGUGCGCGUCAGACACUCGCCUACGAUGCUUUUUAAAGCGCGCACAGUUCUUCAUAGAACGUCGUCUUCACGUCGCUUUAUCUGCCCGCACGGGCUCCAGAAACAGUAUCCUCGAACCUUAGUAACACCAUCUGACAAAAUAUCCCAGCCACGAUACGAUUAACAUCCGCGUGGUGACACUACAUCUACAUGAAUCUAUAACAAGACACUGAAUUGAUUUCAACACAGAGAACAUCCAGUUCUGCCUGGACGCCUUCAGUGCCAAGGCUCCCGGGUUGGGAAAAGACAAAAUCCUCACUCCUAUAAAAACAUCUGGCGGAAACUUUCCCAUUCCUCCGUGUCUGACUCUAUAUGUGUCAGUGUGUCUGUCUACUAAUCCAAAUGAACUAGAACGCUAUGACUCCCCCGAGUUUACCAGGAGCCCUCUCUCUCUCUCUCUCUCUCUCUCCCUCUCGGUUAAUGUUUCAUCCUUUACUCAUAUCUAACUUGGAGACGAGAGCCGCACACACUCAGUGAAUCAGUAGCAGGUGAUUCAGGGAGCCAGUCACAUGUUUGCAGACGCCUCAGGUGUAAGUCGGUGCGCGCGUUUCCGGAAAUAGACGUCGCGGGCCGCGGAGGCCCCUAAUGAAGAAAUGAGUCAGUGUGUUAGCAUUAGCCUGCAGCGCAUGUUAAAUCACUGCGAUCACAUGCCGUCCCUCAACACGCCUCGAUCUCUGCUUUACUUCUCAACUGUCCUCAGCGUGACUAAUCUACCGAAACAACUGCUCAUUUCCUCAGGAGGCUGCUAAUAAAGAUAAACGGCUGGGAUUUUAACAACAAGGUGCCUCCUGCGUGCGGUGGAGUGUCUGGAGAGGAGCGAGCGUGCCGAUAGGCGGUAGUGGUUCAGCAGGCAGGUGAUGACCACCACCAUCACCAUCAUGACCACCACGAUCACCAGGAUCUGGACGAACUCCAGCUGGGCUGCAGCGACAAAAGAGGGAAACACAACCAGGUAUCACAAAAGCAAAGCAGCUCACGCUACAAGACCACACAGCAGGACUUUUUGGCUCAGGCUAAUUCGUGAAACACAACAUCGUCGCAGUUGUUCCUGUCUCAGUUAUAAAUACUUACACGUAUUUCAAUGUAGCCCAACCCUGCGGCAGAGAGUCGGCUCGUGCACAUGUGCCACAACAUCUAAAAUCAAGCUCAAAACGGAGCUUCAAGAUAUUCGCUAACCUUCUACGUGCGACUGUUCAUUAAAUGUUAAUUCUUCAGCGUAAACAAACUGAUUCAUUUAGUCGGAGACUAAUUCAAUAUGUGCUUUUUUUCUUUUUCUUUUUAGGCAUUCCUCUACAAAAAUAAACCACAUCACUCAACACAACUAAACAGCAGGAUUUUCUGAGUCGGUCUAAUUCAUGAAGCAAUACAGAUUUUUCCAUUUGUUGUUGUCUUAUUUGUUAACCUUAGUACAUCUAGUGGCACAGAAUAAUUAAAGGAAACAUUUCACCGACUACUUGAUUAACUGUUACUUCUGCCACAUGAAUGGACUGAUUCAUUUAGUUUGAGACUGAUUUAAUAUUUCUUUUUUUUUUUAGUCGUUUAGUCUUUAAUCUACAUUUCAAGACUAAACUGCUAGACUCUCUGGCUUACACUAAUGAAUGAAACACAAUUUUACUCAAUCAAAGAGACUCUGUAUUAACCUUUUAUUAAAUGUUAGAGCGUUUAGUUUGAGACUAAUUCAAUAUGUUGAUUUUCUUUUUUAGGAUUAGACUAAUUCAUGAAACAGACAGAUUCCUGAUCCAGUGGCACAGAGUAAUUAAAGGAAACAUUUCAGCUCACACAAACUAAUUAAUAAGAUAUUACUUCUAGAGUGUAAAGGGACAGAUUCAUUUAGUAUGAAAAUGAAUUUAACAUGCCACAGUUUUGUUGUUUUUCUUUAUAGGCGUCAUUCUUUCAGUUUAAGAUGAAACUCUGCAGAUUAUUCCAGUUGUUUCUGACUCUGUCUGUUAUUACAUUUAAAGCACAAGUGAAACACAUCACAGAUUUCCAAUAUACUGAUUAAUUGAUAGGACGUUAACCACCAGCAUCACCAUCAUUAGCCACCAGGUGACGUGCUGCGGAGCUGGGUGUUAGUUUAUCCUUGUCAUUCUCUUUGAAUAUACUAUAAAUAAGUGGGUAUAUUGACAUUUAGGUCCAGCUCAGACCUCUUUUUUCCAUAUUACUGCUGACAGCGCUGGCAUUUGGACAUAAAAAGCAAGAGGUCAUGUUUUAAUUCCGCGUGGACACGCAACCAUCAAACAAAAACCCACUCCAACAUGCAAGCCGGCUGCACAAUAAGCCAUUAAAACACGUUCGCGUUUUUUUAAAAUGUUAUUUUCAGGCUCAUGUUCGUGAUCUGUUCAACAUUAGCAGGAGACGCCGGACUCUUAAAAGACAAAUUUUCACUCAACAAAAGCCAAGAGACACUUCAAUUUCUUCUCUCCCCGCAAUCAGAUGUUAAUGUGAGCACUAGACAAAUCCUCGACCAGCUCUCCCUGUCCCAGACUAAUUAAUGAAACACUGUUUAUUAAACUACAUAAAGAGACAACAACUGAAGCAUUUAGGAGACCAGACAGUCAUGCAGGGCUACGUUUCUCCUCCUCAGACUAAUUAAUGAAAAACAAGAGAGGAUCUUUUCCGCCGGGCCGCAUGACUAUGUCUAUGCAUAUAGCAGGGAGACAGUCAUUGGCUUUAUUUAUAGAGCCAGCCUCUCAGUCCUCAGACAGCCUCUGUAUGGAUUUAUUCACACUGUUAGACAGACAUAUAGGGCUGGCUCUGACUUCAGACUAAUUAAUGGGACAAUAUGGGUCCGGCAGACUACAAGGGCCUCAGCUGAACCUUGUCUUGUAUGCAGAUCGUAUGCAGAGAGCGCACAAACCACACAGAGGCGCACAACCACGCAACCCCCAAAAGUGUCAAUGGCCUUGACCCCUAGACGCAUACGCUGCAUGCAUCUACAUAUAUGCAUGAUGAGCACAUGCUGAUGACUACACAGGUUUUGUGUGUGUGUGUUAUUUGCGUCUAGACCGAUAAACAAAGAACAGCUGAGAGGGGGGGAAUGAAACAAGCCCGAAAGGAAGGAAGCAAGGAAGCAGGGAAGGAAGGACUAUUUAUAUCCUCGGUUAAUCAGCUGAUUAUUCGAAUGUUUAGUCCAGUUGGUCUGAAGCUGCCGUUUUCAUUUUUGCUUGUUUUUCUGCAGCCCCCAAAUUAUAAUUAGGUUAGUAUCAUAGAUGAGACGCUAUCAGGGAAUUUGGCAUUUUGCUUGACUAAAGAGAUUAUUAACUGCCGUUACAAACCAAGCUCAGGGCCCGUGGCCCUGGUUUGUGUGAUGUGUCCCUCACUGUCACCAUUAGUUAGACGUCUGACGGCAACACAGACACCAAACCGACACCAAGCGAGUGCAGUCAAUAGCGCAGCCUCACAUCUCCUGAGUCUGGGCCAAAGCGUUGCAAUUGAACACACCACAAAGAUGACAGCCAGCAUCCUGCUAGCGCGUACGUGCUGCGCUUUUCUCAAACGAUAUAACUCCUUACACCAACAGGUGGCAGUAGUCUAUACUGCAGAGGCUAGGAAGAGUUUGUCGUACAGCUGUCCUCGGAGGGAGUCGCUCAGAGUCUACCGCUCAAGGUUGGCUGUUCAGCUCAAUAAACCAGUGAGGCGAGAGAAACAACUGACUGACAAACAGGAAACCAAAUGAGGAAGUUCGCACAUCUACGUCCAAUCUGAACAAUCCAAUCCACAAACGUUUUCAUUAAAACAUGAUAAUCUAGAAAGAAUGAACGAUCCUCGAUUUGAUUCGUAGUUCUUCCUAGCUUCCUAGCCUCCCAGCUAAUAGCAGCUUCUUGUUUCGACCUUUCGGAUGGCAAAUCCGGACUACUGCCCCCCUGCUGGUGUGAAGAGUUAGUGCAGGAGAUCCCUCCUGUACGUGCCAGUUGGACAUCGGUUGCCGUGUUCGUGGUCCACACACAGGCAAAAUUAGGCGAUGCCACACGCCUUUGUUGUAGUAGUAAUGGAAAAGCAAGGGUGGAAUUUAUGACGGGAAGGUGGGAACGGAGAACAAGAAGCAGAUUGACCAUAUUUACUCAUGCCUCCAAGCAAGGCAUUGAACCAAGUUGCUUAACUGAGGCUGCACUCGGCAGCUCCCCGUGUCAUGUGAUUUCCGAAACAGAAAACAACAAGGCAGCAGCAGCUGAGCUGACUUUCUGCUGAUAAUUAAUUUCUUCCGAGACAAAUUACUCUCUGUUUACCGUAGAAGAGGAUUAAAGCGAUUCUGUCUCUGGGAUGUUGCCAGCUGUCAAUCACAGAAAAGAAAAAAAAAAUGAAGAACAAAAAAACGCUGCAAAAAGGCAGAAUUUGAUUGACGCUGGUUUCUGUAAACACAAAUGAUUUCAAACCGGCUUCUUUUCCGCGCAAAAAAAGGCAAAUGAUAUUUCUCAUUUUAUAAAUACUGACUAUCACAACAUCACACACAGAAAUAGUCACAAAGAGAGGAAAUGAAUAGACAAACGCAGGCUAACACAUGUGCACGCCCGCACACACAGUCACAGUCACACUCGCGCUCACACACAGACACAGCCAGACAGGGAGGUUUACAUAAUAAGUCUAGGAGGCCAGCCAGAACAGACUCAAUCAUUUAAUUUCCAUGAUUCACUGAGUGAGAGCGAAACAGAGACAGAAAGAGAAAGAAAGGCGGAAAGAAGGAAAGAAAACCAGUCGCUGAGAAGUAAAAGGCAGAGACAGGAAAGGCAAAUUUAUGUAUUCA